rnacentral:rRNA from 1 species
UGGGGAAUAUUGGACAAUGGGGGCAACCCUGAUCCAGCAAUGCCGCGUGUGUGAAGAAGGUCUUCGGAUUGUAAAGCACUUUCGACGGGGACGAUGAUGACGGUACCCGUAGAAGAAGCCCCGGCUAACUUCGUGCCAGCAGCCGCGGUAAUACGAAGGGGGCUAGCGUUGCUCGGAAUGACUGGGCGUAAAGGGCGUGUAGGCGGUUUACACAGUCAGAUGUGAAAUCCCCGGGCUUAACCUGGGAGCUGCAUUUGAUACGUGUAGACUAGAGUGUGAGAGAGGGUUGUGGAAUUCCCAGUGUAGAGGUGAAAUUCGUAGAUAUUGGGAAGAACACCGGUGGCGAAGGCGGCAACCUGGCUCAUGACUGACGCUGAGGCGCGAAAGCGUGGGGAGCAAACAGGAUUAGAUACCCUGGUAGUCCACGCUGUAAACGAUGUG